GCGUUGUCCGGAUUUAUUGGGCGUAAAGCGCGUGUAGGCGGCCAGGUAGGUCUGCUGUGAAAACUCGAGGCUCAACCUCGAGCUGUCGGCGGAAACCCUCUGGCUAGAGUCCGGAAGAGGAGAGUGGAAUUCCUGGUGUAGCGGUGAAAUGCGCAGAUAUCAGGAAGAACACCCAUGGCGAAGGCAGCUCUCUGGGACGGUACUGACGCUGAGACGCGAAAGCGUG
rnacentral:rRNA from 1 species